rnacentral:lncRNA from 1 species
AUCUAUCCCCCACUAUUCAGUGAGUCUUCUCCUUGCUCCCAUUACAUGGUUGUAGCAUUGAGAUCCAAGCCCAAGAUCUUGUACAUUGUACAGUCGAGUCUAUGUCCUGAGCGUAGAAGGGUCCCCCCAUUCUGGACCCACGCUCCCUUGUCUGAUGCUCUCUCUGACUUGAGAUAGAAGCAAUGAGGCACACCCCUCAUCACCUUUCAUCUAGCUUCACCUUAGCCCCUCAAUGGCAAGGUUAAGAGCUAACCUGA